rnacentral:rRNA from 1 species
CCUUCGGGAACGUCUGACACAGGUGCUGCAUGGCUGUCGUUAGCUCGUGUCGUGAGAUGUUGGGUUAAGUCCGUAACGAGCGCAACCCUUGUCCUUAGUUACCAGCACGUUAUGGUGGGCACUCUAAGGAGACUGCCGGUGACAAACCGGAGGAAGGUGGGGAUGACGUCAAGUCAUCAUGGCCCUUACGGCCUGGGCUACACACGUGCUACAAUGGUCGGUACAAAGGGUUGCCAAGCCGCGAGGUGGAGCUAAUCCCAUAAAACCGAUCGUAGUCCGGAUCGCAGUCUGCAACUCGACUGCGUGAAGUCGGAAUCGCUAGUAAUCGUGAAUCAGAAUGUCACGGUGAAUACGUUCCCGGGCCUU